AGAGAAUGAGCCACUAGGGCUUGGAUACCCCCUCAUGUGUACUGGCAGAGAUCCAGCCACAGCUGCUGCAUGGAAGAGCGAAACAGAGAGACUGCUGCCCUAGAGAGACUGCUGCUCUGAGAGCGGAAAGAGAU